GUACUCGCGAGCGAGCUCCGUGGAGCCGCGUGACAAGUUUGUUGACUGUUCCUUUCGACGGCGUUUCCUGCAAUUAACGAGAAGUAAACGGUAAAAGGUAGAAGAGGCACGAACGUCAUCAUGUCCAUGUACCUUUUGUACUUUCAAAAGUGCUUAAAACUAUUUGUUUAGUCGCCUUUUGUGCAAGUAAAGUUUUUAUUGACAUGCUUGCGGGGUUACACCUUCCGCACGUGGUCUUCUUUGAGAAUUUAAAAAAAAAAAAAAAAAAUCCUGGGUUUGAUGGAAAACAUUUUUUCAGACCGCAAAAUACAGUACAUGAAACUCUAUACAACAUUGAACUACUAAGAGCGCAAUUGAAGUGCGUUGGCCACAAGAGGGCAGCACUGCACCACUCGACUAUUACUGUGGCGCACAACAGGUUUAAUUCCCAAAAGGCAGAGAUCGCUAGAGCAGAAAAAUAACAUUUGUUUUGGAACAAAGGAAGGAUACAUGUCAGUUUCUCAUUCUCAUUUUUCAUAGUUUUUGUAAGCUUUUCUUUUUUUGAUUAAUAAUUUCUAAGACUGCUUCCUCAAACAUUCUCCAGUUAAUCUCAGCACUGCGCAAUGUGCGGGUUACGCGUUAGCUACACGUGUGGUUCGUCAGAGAAGGACAAAUUCUGCAGAUAUCGGACGGAAUCAUAAAGCAAGAACUUCAAAUAUCUCUUUCUAAGCUUUAAAAAAAAAAAAAUAAAAAUCAGUUGUAAAAAUCUGACGAACCCUUGUUGGGAAGUUUGUUACUCCAUACUGGUUGAUUCAGAAAUGUGUUUUCUAACAAGAUGUAAAAAAAAAAAAAAAAAAAUGUAUUCAGCUGUAACGUUAAGACACGUGUUUCCGGUGUUUCCCAGUAUGCCUUCAGCCUUGUCCGUGUAUUUUUCUCUUUUAAAAUUCUGUCAGUGCCGGUGGUGCCAUGUGACGGCCAGCAGGGGGCGCUGGACUCUGGCGCACAGUCAGCAGGCCUCAAGUUGUCAGACUGCUGUACGUACAUACUGCACAAGAUGGAUCACCAUUGCCAGCAUGCAGAUUCAGCUUUUUCUGUACUCUGCGGAAGUGCAAGACCCAGUGAAGAUGAAAGAACCAAUGGCCGGAAUCAAAGACGAAGCUGAAACUAGUUCACGGAACGAAAACCAUGAUAUAUAAUGUUGGAGCAAAAAAAUCAACUGGUGAGUACCACAGAGCUGACAGGGUGCGAGGUUUGCUCUAGAUCCACAAUAAAACUGACUUAACACAUGAUAGCGGGCUGCA
rnacentral:lncRNA from 1 species